AUGCAAACCCUCACGCAAAAUAGUGAGGCCUCUCUAGAAGUUCUACAUCAACAUAGAAUUGGAAGCACACCAUAUGAGCAGACCCUCGAAAGCGUCAACAAAUUUCAAUCUGUUAUGUCUCCUAUGCACUUCAAUAUGUUCUUCGCCCCCCCUAUGGUCAAAUCCUGGCUCCGCCCCUGGCAGCAAGGGGAGGCCGAGGCCGGGGCGCAAGAGGUCGAGUCCAGGGAGCGGGAGGAAGCUGGAGGCGUGGGAGAGAGGAGGGGGAGGAGCGUCCUGGAGCCGUCGUCCAUUGCGAACUCGCCGGCCGAGAACUCGUGCGCACGGCUGGGCGCUGGGGAGAGGAAGGACGACUCACACCUUAUCCUCUCUUUUUUUUAA
rnacentral:rRNA from 1 species